GGUAGGCACUUCUGAUCAAUGGUUUCUAUUGAUUUUAUCUGGACCAAUAUAAGGAGAUGCUGGUUAUAUUUUUGGUUCUUGAUGUUGCAGCUAUAUCAUCCAAGUGAUAUUAUUAUGGAUGGUGAUGAUGGGAUUCUAUUCUGGUUUUCCAUGAAACUCUUGGUGUUGGUGCUGGAGUGCUGGGGAAUAAAAUUUAAUUUUUAUUCUUGUCUUUAUCUCUUUCCUGAUCUUAAUGGAGUGGUAGGAUAUUGAUAUUGGAAACUACUUUCUCGCUAAACAGAUUUUAUUUUGGUUCUCGUUUCAUGGAUUGAUUACUUAUAGUACUUAUGUGAAUGGGGAGUAGAUGCAAGGAGGCCUAUUCCGUGCCGGGAUGAACCUGCUCUUAAGGUCUUAAAACCAAGAAUUUCCUCUUCUAAUUAUAAACAAUCAACUAUGCUAAAAAAGACAGAAUAUGAGAAUUGAACUUAAUUGAGCUUGUUACACUUCUUUUCAACAGGCGACCUUCAGAAUAACUAAAGAUGUUCCAUUAGAGUUGGCAGCAUUAUCCAACAUGCCAAUUGUUGAUUUCGUAUGACAGGAAUGUUAAGACUGUUUGUUUUCAGGAAUCUCCUCUCAUGUCAAGUUAUUUGGUGGCUGUUGUUAUUGGUGUAUUCACUCAUUUUGAGGAUAGAAAAGCUGAUGUAUAGACCUGUGUUCUUAUGUAUUAAUAGAUCACCUUGUUAUCUCCAAAGAGGAACGUUAUUUUCUCUGUUUACUUUUUCAACGGCUAAUGCAGGGAUUAAGGUUCGUGUAUACCCACUGAACCCCUUGCCCAUUCAGUGGGUGAAACUUUCGAUGUUAUCCGGAGGUUGCAGGGCUAGCUUAGGGAUGACAUACUCUAGAAUCCUUGAGUUAUGCUCGGGGAAAUGCAAAGACAGAAGAGUUGUGGAGCAUUAUUUCAGAGGAAUCUGGUGUUCAAGUAAUCUCAAUGAUGAACAGUUGGACAAAGCAAAAAGGAUAUCCAGUCAUCUCUGUGAGGUCUGAAGAUGAAAUUGUUGGAAUUUGAACAGAUGGAUUAUUCCAAUGACCUUGCUCCUUGGAUCUAGCAACAAGAGCUAGAAUUCCCUUUUGCAGUCAAAAGUUGAAAGGGUGGACAUAUCUGAUUGUGUUUCAUCUCCUGAUGGCAAUUCAAGCUCAUCAAAUGAACAUAAAGAAGAGAAAGGUGACGGAAAAUUCAUGGAUCAAAGAUAACAUUAUCUAGCGGGGGCUUCUGUAGAGUAAAGUAUGAACAAAAACUGUCAGCUGACUGAGGAAAGCUGUAGAGUACAAUUUGCUUUCAGCAGCAUGUAAAUUUGGUAUAUAUUCAUUGUUGAACCUAACUAUGCAUAAAACGGGAUGUUGCCAGGUUAGACUUACUUGACA